UACGUAGGGGGCAAGCGUUGUCCGGAAUUAUUGGGCGUAAAGAGCGUGUAGGCGGUCCGGUAAGUCCGCUGUGAAAGUCCAGGGCUCAACCCUGGGAUGCCGGUGGAUACUGUCGGGCUCGAGUCCGGAAGAGGAGUGUGGAAUUCCUGGUGUAGCGGUGAAAUGCGCAGAUAUCAGGAGGAACACCAAUGGCGAAGGCAGCACUCUGGGACGGUACUGACGCUGAGACGCGAAAGCGUGGGGAGCGAACAGG
rnacentral:rRNA from 1 species